rnacentral:lncRNA from 10 species
GGGACCUCCAGACAUACAGGAUAGAAACCCUGACCUCUAGCAAUGUAGUCUACCUGUGCCAGGGUCUGGAGGAGGCCAGGGGAGCAUCCUGGCCAUCAGGACCCCAGGAGAAGAAGUGUCCGGCGAAGGAGGAAGUCCCAUGAAGAAAUAAAGAACAUGUGGUGAAUCACAGAGAAGUGGCUGAAAAGAUUCAAGCCUCAACCUUGGUCCUCCCUAGUCACAUGACCACAGGCAAACCUCUUCUCUCUCAGCCUCAGUUUUUGCAUCAGUGCAAUAGGAAUGGUAUCUGCCAUGCUAACCUCACAGGACUGCUGUGUGUUCAGAUGAAUCAGGUAUGUGAAAGACACUUCUGCAAGCGGGAAAGAGGUGUGCAAAGGCAAUUUGCUUUUACAGAACUUAUAUUACUGUCAUUUCCCAUCGUUAUUUUAAUGCUCAAAAGGUUUGGGAGACAUUUCUGUAACUGAGGUGUUCAUGGUAAGCCCACACUCACUCCUGCUUGGAAAAGGUUUUACAUAGACUGAGGAGACCUGAGGCAGUUGCUGAGCUGCUUAGAACAGAGUCUCUGGGUCACAGCCAUCCCAUUACUGGGCAUAUCCCCAAAGGAUUGUAAAUCAUGCUGCUAUAAAGACACAUGCACACGUAUGUUUAUUGCAGCACUAUUCACAACAGCAAAGACUUGGAACCAACCCAAAUGUCCAUCAAUGAUAGACUGGAUUAAGAAAAUGUGGCACAUAUACACCAUGGAAUACUAUGCAGCCAUAAAAAAGGAUGAAUUCAUGUCCUUUGUAGGGACAUGGAUGAAGCUGGAAACCAUCAUUCUGAGCAAACUAUCGCAAGGACAGAAAACCAAACACUGCAUGCUCUCACUCAUGGGUGGGAAUUGAACAAUGAGAACACAUGGACA